GACGAACGCUGGCGGCAUGCCUAAUACAUGCAAGUCGAGCGAACAGAUGAAGUGCUUGCACUUCUGACGUUAGCGGCGAACGGGUGAGUAACACGUAAGGAAUCUACCUAUAAGCGGGGGAUAACAUUCGGAAACGGGUGCUAAUACCGCAUAAUAUCUUCUUCCGCAUGGAAGAAGAUUGAAAGACGGCUCUGCUGUCACUUAUAGAUGACCUUGCGGUGCAUUAGUUAGUUGGUGGGG
rnacentral:rRNA from 1 species